UACGUAGGGGGCAAGCGUUGUCCGGAGUUACUGGGCGUAAAGCGCACGCAGGCGGUCUUUUUAAGUUUGGAGUGACAGUUGGUGGCUUAACUGCCAAAGUGCUUCGAAAACUGAGAGACUUGAGGGCUUCAGAGGGACACGGAAUUCCGGGUGGAGUGGUGAAAUGCGUAGAGAUCCGGAGGAACACCAAAGGCGAAGGCAGUGUCCUGGGGAGUACCUGACGCUCAGGUGCGAAAGCCAGGGGAGCGAACGGG
rnacentral:rRNA from 1 species